rnacentral:sRNA from 1 species
AUGUACUACGUGUACAUUCCGGUUCCUGCGCUCCGUGCGCCUUGCCCUCCAAUCGCUCGCUACGAUUCCUGCC